CAGUGGGGAAUAUUGCACAAUGGGCGCAAGCCUGAUGCAGCGACGCCGCGUGAGGGAUGACGGCCUUCGGGUUGUAAACCUCUUUCAGCAGGGAAGAAGCGAGAGUGACGGUACCUGCAGAAGAAGCGCCGGCUAACUACGUGCCAGCAGCCGCGGUAAUACGUAGGGCGCAAGCGUUGUCCGGAAUUAUUGGGCGUAAAGAGCUCGUAGGCGGCUUGUCGCGUCGGUUGUGAAAGCCCGGGGCUUAACCCCGGGUCUGCAGUCGAUACGGGCAGGCUAGAGUUCGGUAGGGGAGAUCGGAAUUCCUGGUGUAGCGGUGAAAUGCGCAGAUAUCAGGAGGAACACCGGUGGCGAAGGCGG
rnacentral:rRNA from 1 species